rnacentral:rRNA from 1 species
GAUGAACGCUGGCGGCGUGCCUAAUACAUGCAAGUCGAGCGAACAGACGAGGAGCUUGCCCCUCUGACGUUAGCGGCGGACGGGUGAGUAACACGUGGAUAACCUACCUAUAAGACUGGGAUAACUUCGGGAAACCGGAGCUAAUACCGGAUCAUAUAUUGAACCGCAGGGUUCUAUAGUGAAAGACGGUUUUGCUGUCACUUAUAGAUGGAUCCGCGCCGCAUUAGCUAGUUGGUAAGGUAACGGCUUACCAAGGCGACGAUGCGUAGCCGACCUGAGAGGGUGAUCGGCCACACUGGAACUGAGACACGGUCCAGACUCCUACGGGAGGCAGCAGUAGGGAAUCUUCCGCAAAGGGCGAAAGCCUGACGGAGCAACGCCGCGUGAGUGAUGAAGGUCUUCGGAUCGUAAAACUCUGUUAUUAGGGAAGAACAAAUGUGUAAGUAACUAUGCACGUCUUGACGGUACCUAAUCAGAAAGCCACGGCUAACUACGUG